rnacentral:rRNA from 1 species
UACGUAGGGGGCAAGCGUUGUCCGGAAUCAUUGGGCGUAAAGCGCGCGUAGGCGGCUAGAUCAGUCUGCUGUAAAAGUCAAAGGCUCAACCUUUGAAAGCCGGUGGAUACUGUCUAGCUAGAGUCCGGAAGAGGCGAGUGGAAUUCCUGGUGUAGCGGUGGAAUGCGCAGAUAUCAGGAGGAACACCAACGGCGAAGGCAGCUCGCUGGGACGGUACUGACGCUAAGGCGCGAAAGCGUGGGGAUCGAACAGG